GGCAUUCUAGGAUACAGUCGCCCCACACUGUACACGUGACCUGUGCUCCUAGCUCCUAACUUGUGCUCCUUCCAAGUAAGAAGGAAACCGGUGGGUGAGCAAACAGGAACUCCCCUUCGCUUUUCUGAGGGCAAACGCACCCUGGGGCUGCUACUGCACAGAACAAAGCACCAGAGAUGAUUUACAGGCUCAGCUGCUAACUAAUCCACAGAGCUUCCUCACACCUGCCUAACCCCCUGCAGGCCUUCAAAGCAGGACCAUAUACUGCAACAAAGAAAAGCUUAAUGGCGAGGAUCCUCUCCUCACAGUCACAUCUAAACUCGUUAAGUAGGUCCAGACCAUGUUCUGCAUGCACAGCUGCCGCAGGAGUUGCGAGGCCUGGAGAGGAAAUCGCACAAGAAGUGAG